AUACGUAGGGGGCUAGCGUUGUCCGGAAUCAUUGGGCGUAAAGCGCGUGUAGGCGGCCCGGUAAGUCCGCUGUGAAAGUCCAGGGCUCAACCCUGGGAUGCCGGUGGAUACUGUCGGGCUCGAGUCCGGAAGAGGCGAGUGGAAUUCCUGGUGUAGCGGUGAAAUGCGCAGAUAUCAGGAGGAACACCGAUUGCGAAGGCAGCUCGCUGGGACGUUACUGACGCUGAGACGCGAAAGCGUGGGGAGCAAACAG
rnacentral:rRNA from 1 species